rnacentral:precursor_RNA from 12 species
UGAGCAAAAUUGAUAUUGCUGGAUUCUUUCACGUUGUAACUUGUGUAAAUUAUGAUGUAAGAUAUAAUUACACUUGUUACGACCGGAAAGCACCAGUUACUUACUGCAUUGCACUGG